rnacentral:rRNA from 2 species
GGGUUGUGAGGUUAAGCGACUAAGCGUACACGGUGGAUGCCCUGGCAGUCAGAGGCGAUGAAGGACGUGCUAAUCUGCGAAAAGCGUCGGUAAGGUGAUAUGAACCGUUACAGCCGGCGAUGUCCGAAUGGGGAAACCCAGUGUGAUUCGUCACACUAUCGUUAACUGAAUACAUAGGUUAACGAGGCGAACCGGGGGAACUGAAACAUCUAAGUACCCCGAGGAAAAGAAAUCAACCGAGAUUCCCCCAGUAGCGGCGAGCGAACGGGGAGCAGCCCAGAGUCUGAAUCAGCUUGUGUGUUAGUGGAACGGUCUGGAAAGUCCGACGGUACAGGGUGAUAGUCCCGUACACCAAAAUGCACAGGCUGUGAACUCGAAGAGUAGGGCGGGACACGUGGUAUCCUGUCUGAAUAUGGGGGGACCAUCCUCCAAGGCUAAAUACUCCUGACUGACCGAUAGUGAACCAGUACCGUGAGGGAAAGGCGAAAAGAAC